rnacentral:lncRNA from 1 species
GAUCACAUCAUCAACUAAUUCUCAUGUUUUCUUUUGUUGUUCUAAUUUGUAUUGUUUCCUUUACAUUGGGAUGCAAAUGAAAUAGUUUUGUUCACGUAUGUAAACACAAGUUAAUUACAAUAGGUAAGUUGCUCAAUGAAAUAUAAUUUUAAGAGCACUUUAAAUAAGACUUAGCUGAAAAAACAUUGUGUUCAAGAUAAUGAAUUUGAUCCCUCUUCUGUUCUCUAGAUGCCUCUUUUUAUAGGCCUCAUUUUCUAGAUCUAAUAGGUCUUUCUUUGGAUGUCCAGGCCCAUUAACUCUCUGAGGUCAAUAUGGAUCACUUGUACCAGACGCGUGGAGCCGAUCAUGUUUCCUUGAACUGCUCGUCCGUACAAGGCACGUGGAGUCAAGGGUACACAGCUCACGUCACUUGUCUGUGCAAGACGUGUGGCGUGUUCUGAGAUACUCUCAAGAGGAGGACCACAAUGAUGUCUGGACAACGACUUGAUGGCGGAGCUCACAUUAUCUGAACGAUCAAACUAAGUUAAGCAGAUGAAGCUCGUUUUACCUGAACAAUCAAGCUGAGCUAAGCAGGUGGAGCUCACGUGACCUGAACAAUAAAGCUUAGACGUCAAGCAUGUUAUGGCGUAGACUGUCGACCUGAACCAGUCCAAGUUCUAUUAUAGUAAACAUUUUAUUUGUACCAACUGUAAACAAAAUUUAAUUUGGACAACGUCAUUUAUCCCAUAUUUUUAUUUUUGAGGGACUUUCAAUCUAUCUGUAUAUAUAAAGAGUGACAUGUGACAUGCCUAACAAGGUGCUGCCUUUUCUACAAUAUUUUAUUUUUGGGUACGACUUAUUUUUUGACAAUAGGGAAAGACUUCUGAUUUAUAAUUAUAUUA